UGGCCCAUCUCCAGCUUGGACUGCCAGAGGAAAUGUCCGCGUUUUUCAGUGCACAAAACCAUUAUCCGAAUAUUGAAUACUGAAUUUCACAUAACUGAAAGGCUUGAAAAUAGGUCAGAAACAGACCAACAGGGGACGCCGUUUGCCAUUGCAGCCUCAAGUCACGUUAUUACUCGUCUUCCGCUACAUGCUCGCGCUAAACUAAUUUACAGGUUUAAACGACGUAGGUUGACGAUCAUCUUCAUCAUCAUUAUUAAGAAACUAUGUCCGUCCAGAAAUCCUGGUGUUUCCUGGAGGACAUACCCUCACUCCAUCCAGAAUGAAUCCGCUACACCUGUGUGUGAAAAGGUCACCUGACCACCCGUUGGCGAGUCAAGACCGAUCCCGCUGCCACACCAGAUUAUAGACAGAGGUGGAAAUGACAGUAGAUCUGUACCAUCCCCUGGCUCAUGACCUGCUACUGAAAUACUUCAAGUCAAUCGAUAAAACAGUGGUGCGUUUCCCAGCUAAUGUCAAGUGUCUGAGGACCACCACCUUGAUGCAUUAUUAAAUGCACAUACGCAGACUGGAGGCAAAGACGUGGAACAGAAGCCCCGGCGAAAUGAACGCAAGAUCUGACAGAGAGAGCGAAAGAGGGAGAGAAAACUUAAUUGAAGCCUGAUUACUGGCCCUUGGGAGGUUACAGUUUAUUAAUAUGUCACUUUCAAUAAAGACACUCCCAUAUUCA
ensembl:lncRNA